rnacentral:rRNA from 1 species
AUUGAACGCUGGCGGCAGGCCUAACACAUGCAAGUCGAACGAGUGGCGGACGGGUGAGUAAUGUCUGGGAAACUGCCUGAUGGAGGGGGAUAACUACUGGAAACGGUAGCUAAUACCGCAUACCAUCAGAUGUGCCCAGAUGGGAUUAGCUUGUGGGUGGGGUAACGGCUCACAAAGGCGACGAUCACUAGCUGGUCUGAGAGGAUGACGAGCAACACGGGAACGGAGACACGGUCAAGACUCCUACGGGAGGCAGCAGGGGGGAAUAUUGCAAAAUGGGGGCAAGCCUGAUGCAGACAGGCCGCGUGUAUGAAGAAGGCCUUCGGGUUGUAAAGUACUUUCAGCGGGGAGGCGUUACCCGCAGAAGAAGCACCGGCUAACUCCGUGCCAGCAGCCGCGGUAAUAC